rnacentral:rRNA from 1 species
AACGAACGCUGGCGGCAGGCUUAACACAUGCAAGUCGAGCGCCCCGCACGGGGAGCGGCAGACGGGUGAGUAACGCGUGGGAAUCUACCCAUCUCUACGGAAUAACGCAUGGAAACGUGUGCUAAUACCGUAUACGUCCUUCGGGAGCAAGAUUUAUCGGAGAUGGAUGAGCCCGCGUUGGAUUAGCUAGUUGGUGGGGUAAAGGCCUACCAAGGCGACGAUCCAUAGCUGGUCUGAGAGGAUGAUCAGCCACACUGGGACUGAGACACGGCCCAGACUCCUACGGGAGGCAGCGGUGGGGAAUAUUGGACAAUGGGCGCAAGCCUGAUCCAGCCAUGCCGCGUGAGUGAUGAAGGCCCUAGGGUUGUAAAGCUCUUUCACCGGUGAAGAUAAUGACGGUAACCGGAGAAGAAGCCCCGGCUAACUUCGUGCCAGCCGCCGCCGUAAGAC